rnacentral:rRNA from 1 species
GAGUUUGAUCGUGGCUCAGAUUGAACGCUGGCGGCAGGCCUAACACAUGCAAGUCGAGCGGAUGACGGGAGCUUGCUCCUUGAUUCAGCGGCGGACGGGUGUGUAAUGCCUAGGAAUCUGCCUGGUAGUGGGGGACAACGUUUCGAAAGGAACGCUAAUACCGCAUACGUCCUACGGGAGAAAGCAGGGGACCUUCGGGCCUUGCGCUAUCAGAUGAGCCUAGGUCGGAUUAGCUAGUUGGUGGGGUAAUGGCUCACCAAGGCGACGAUCCGUAACUGGUCUGAGAGGAUGAUCAGUCACACUGGAACUGAGACACGGUCCAGACUCCUACGGGAGGCAGCAGUGGGGAAUAUUGGACAAUGGGCGAAAAGCCUGAUCCAGCCAUGCCGCGUGUGUGAAGAAAGGUCUUCGGAUUGUAAAGCACUUUAAGUUGGGAGAAGGGCAGUAAGUUAAAUAACCUUGCUGUUUUGACGUUACCGACAGAAUAAGA